CCUUUAGAAGAAUUGAAUGAAAUAUUGUUAUUUUAUUGUUUUCUUUCUUAGGUUUAAUACGCAAUUGUUCUUUAAUUGCGCUUACUGCGAGCCAACACCUGCUCAAAUAGUGGACGAUUUGCUGCGAGCACUGCGCAGACAUUGCCAUCGCCAUCAUGGCGCCCGGCGUGUUUGGAGUUCGGAUAGAUCAGACUCUUCGUUGGCCUCGUUUUUAUGUGUUUGAUCCGUGACGUUUCGUCGAAAAAUCACAAGCGCGCAUGCCGUAGGUGUUUGUCUGGUUGCAAGAUCUUGCCGAUUUCAACGUUUUUCCACCUCUUCGGUAAGUACUUGACAUGCCUGGAUUACUGCAAUUAGCACGUUCUUAGCACUUUCUUCUUUGGCUCCCCAUCGCGCGCAGGCUGGCGUACGCUGAACUGGACCCUCGCAGCAAGAAUGGCACGUGGGACUGCCUCUGCGAACCCCGCUCCUGGACAACAGCUGGGAGGCUCUGUGUUUAAACGCGUGCACCUUGGACGUCAUGCUCCUGCCUCUGCAAGCCCUUUUGCUGGACGCCAUGGAAGGCCCUCCACUCGAAAGUGUGCACCUUAGACUACACGCUCAUCAAUACCAAGUUCUCUGUCCUUCUCGGCAUGAUUGUAGUGCCAUAUAAUAGUGAGGCAAUAAAUCAUUUUUGCUGGUCA